rnacentral:rRNA from 1 species
AACGAACGCUGGCGGUGCGUUUUAAGCAUGCAAGUCGAACGGCAAGAAGGUGCUUGCACUUUCCUAGAGUGGCGGACUGGUGAGUAACGCGUGGGUGAUCUACCUUUAAGAUGGGGAUAGCUUUUAGAAAUAAGAGAUAAUACCGAAUACACUUACGAUGUUUUGACAUUGUAAGAAAAGGAGCGUUUGCUCCGCUUAAAGAUGAGCCUGCGUCCCAUUAGCUAGUUGGUGAGGUAAAGGCCCACCAAGGCAAUGAUGGGUAUCCGGCCUGAGAGGGUGACCGGACACAUUGGGACUGAGAUACGGCCCAAACUCCUACGGGAGGCAGCAGCUGAGAAUCUUCCGCAAUGGACGAAAGUCUGACGGAGCGACACCGCGUGAAUGAUGAAGGCCGAAAGGUUGUAAAAUUCUUUUGCAGACAAAGAAUAAGGAUAGUAGGAAAUAACUGUCUGAUGACGGUAGUAUGC